ensembl:miRNA
AGUCAGCCUGUCCUUUGAAGCUUUGAAGCCAGGCAUUGACUUCUCUCUAGCUAUGGAAGUCCUAGUUGGCCUCUAGCUGAU